AGUGAACGCUGGCGGUAGGCCUAACACAUGCAAGUCGAACGGCAGCACAGUAAGAGCUUGCUCUUACGGGUGGCGAGUGGCGGACGGGUGAGGAAUACAUCGGAAUCUACUUUUUCGUGGGGGAUAACGUAGGGAAACUUACGCUAAUACCGCAUACGACCUACGGGUGAAAGCAGGGGAUCUUCGGACCUUGCGCGAUUGAAUGAGCCGAUGUCGGAUUAGCUAGUUGGCGGGGUAAAGGCCCACCAAGGCGACGAUCCGUAGCUGGUCUGAGAGGAUGGUCAGCCACACUGGAACUGAGACACGGUCCAGACUCCUACAGGAGGCAGCAGUGGGGAAUAUUGGACAAUGGGCGCAAGCCUGAUCCAGCCAUACCGCGUGGGUGAAGAAGGCCUUCGGGUUGUAAAGCCCUUUUGUUGGGAAAGAAAAGCAGCAGGUUAAUACCCCGCUGUUCUGACGGUACCCAAAGAAUAAGCACCGGCUAACUUCGUG
rnacentral:rRNA from 1 species